rnacentral:lncRNA from 1 species
UACAUUUCCCGGCAAGUGGGCCUAGUCCUACGUGGCGUUAGUCAAACGACCACGUCACCCGGUCAGACACAGAGACACACGCAUACUUCAAAAAGAUUUAGGGCCCAAACAUGCGUUUUUAAAGUUUUAGGACUAAGUUGGCACAUUUGAAAUAGAAUUAGGACCGCGGAUGCAUUUUACUGUACUUAUAAUUAUGAUGAAAAUUUAAAUCAACAAUUUAUACAUUACUGCAUAGCUGAUGUCCAACAGGAAGAGCUUCUAUAUAGCAAAAGCUAACCCAUGCAACUACACUGUCUAACAAGCUAUUGCGGAAAAAAGACCUUCAUAGACCCACAUUUAUUUGUUCUGGCAUUUCUAUUCCAAGUGUAGUAGUACGGGAGAAAAAAAAAAUACACAGAUCUAGAAAGCAAGUAGCUGAUAUAUGUUUGGGGGAAGGAAUGAUGCCUUUACUGUUUGGGGAAAGGAAUAAUGUUUUAUAAGAGUAAAAUAUAUCAGAGGUCUUAAUUAUUUCGUAAAGGUCUCAAGUUAGUCCCACUUCUUUGAAACUGCACAUUUUACUCCUAAUAGUUUCAUAAGUGAUUCAGCACAGGUCCUAUUAUGGUUCUGGCGCGUGUCCCUUACUGAUGUGGCUAAUAGGAUCCACAUGUCAGGGUGCCGAGGCGUACUAUUUUUUGCAAAAAAAAACCUGCCCUUUUUUUUCUUCUCCCCUGUCAGCCCUUCACUCUCAGCUCAUCCCCUCUUUCUUCCCCCCGAGCUCUCUCCCUCUGGCUCUGUACGUCCCCCCCUCUCUCCCAAGCCGCCCCCAUUCCUUCUCCCCGAAGCCUGGCGCUAGCUCGCCCGCUCCGACGCCUGCCUCCUCCGCACCGCCGCACGCCCGCUCGUGCGCUCGCCUUGGUCUCCCCCGCCCAACAGCGUCCCCACGCGGUGAUAAUUCGAGCGCACGCACCAAUGGCCAUGAAAUGGUGAACGAAGAGCGCCUUUGCAAGGCUUCGGUCAUUUCCCCGACCACUGCUGCACCAGCACCCGCGUGAACGGCGGAGCUCGCCGGCUUCCGCCGCGCCAGGCACGCCACGCGCAGCCCCGUCCCGUCCUGGCCACUGCCGCCCGUGCUCACCUGGAUCCUGUUGCGCCCGUGGACGUACAUCUUGCCGUUGAUGGCGGCGCCGUUGUUGUGCUUGCCGCCGUCGCCGUUGACGUGCCGUGGCUUGCCAUUGGCGCUGCGGGGCCGUUGACGCGUUGGGCGGUGCCGUUGACCCUGCUGGUCGCGGCGGGGACAAAGGACGGUGGAGAUCCUGAGGAAGGCCGGCGUGGUGGGUAUUCCUGAGGAGGUGGCGGUGCUUGAGAGGUGGAGGGAGGAGGUGGAGGCCAUAGACUUUUUGGGGAGGUCCAUGGCGGCAGGGGAGAAAGGGGGGACUCGGGAGAGAGAGGUUUCGGAGAGAAGGUGACCAGUGCAGAAGCAGAAAAGGAGAAAGGGGUGACGGGGGAGAAGAAAGAAAUGGUCCGGAGGGUUUUUGGCAAAAAAAUAGUACACCUUGGAACCUGACACGUGGAUCCAAAUAGCCACGUCGGCAAAAGGCACGCACCAGAACCGCAACAGGACCUGUGUUGAACCACUUACGAACUAUUAGGACUAAAACAUGCAGUUUCACAAAAAAACAGACUAACUUGGGACUUUUACGAAAGAAUUAGGACCUCCGAUGCAUUUUACUCUUUUCCAAAUCACCUUUCCAUGAAGUUGGAGCUAUCUUCGUCGUUCCUACAAGAGCUCUUUGAGUUCCGGUAUCGUCUUUGCUGGCUGUAUUCUUCACUGAUUCUUCUUUUCGUGCACUCAUGGAAACAUUUGAUAAUAGAAAGGCUGCCUUUUCAUCUCUGUGUUGCUUUGUGUAGCAAAGCACAUCCACAUUUGUCAUACGUGCUAGUGUUAGGAUAAUCUUGAGUUUGAGUGUAACUAGGAAAGUGUUUCCGCGUUGUUUAAUUACCAAAUCGUGAGUACUAGUUCUGUCCUAAUAAUACUCGAGUUAGUAUUAGGAAUCGGUGUUACUUUCCUUGUUUGGUUGUUCCUAAUCAAGUUGGACACCUAGUCAGUGUAGGUGUAGGCAGUUUCUGUGCCGGGUUAGAGAUAUUGAGAUAAGAAAUAAAGCAAAGAAAGACACGACAGGUGCUUUUAGCCAUAAUCCGGUGAUUGUCGUGUGAGGCUGUGAGCAUGUGUCUUCACGUGAUUAAUCUUUGUGCAAACCAAACAGCUAGCACAUUCGAGAGCAAGUUGUCCGUAAUGUGCAGUCCUAGGUGACAACAGACAUAAAUAUGUGGGUGCAUCAUUGUUAAGGUUAUAACAUAAGGCUAUGAGAGAGAAUGAAAAUUAUAUAAUCUAAGAUAGAGCAGCACAGCAACAAUUAUUCAAUCAAAACCUUUGAUAGCACAAGGUACCAACUAUGUUUUGAUGAUAGCACAAGGUACCAACUAUUGCCAAAAAAAGACCUUCAUAGACCCACAUUUAUUUGUUCUGGCAUUUCUAUUCCAAGUGUAGUAGUACAGGAGAAAAAAGGAAAUACACAAAUCUAGAAUGCAAGUAGCUGAUAUAUGUUUGAUGGGAAGGAAUAAUGCCUUUAAGUGUACAUUACUGUUUGGGGGAAAGGAAUAAUGCUGUAUGUUUUUCCAUAUCAC